CCUACGGGAGGCAGCAGUAGGGAAUAUUUCUCAAUGGGGGAAACCCUGAAGCAGCAACGCCGCGUGGAGGAUGAAGGUUUUCGGAUUGUAAACUCCUUUUGUUAGAGAAGAUAAUGACGGUAUCUAACGAAUAAGCACCGGCUAACUCCGUGCCAGCAGCCGCGGUAAUACGGAGGGUGCAAGCGUUACUCGGAAUCACUGGGCGUAAAGAGCGCGUAGGCGGGAUAGCAAGUCAGAUGUGAAAUCCUAUGGCUUAACCAUAGAACUGCAUUUGAAACGGUUAUUCUAGAGUAUGGGAGAGGUAGGUGGAAUUCUGGGGGUAGGGGUAAAAGCCGUAGAGAUAAAGAGGAAUACUCAUUGCGAAGGCGACCUGCUAGAACAUAACUGACGCUGAUGCGCGAAAGCGUGGGGAGCAAACAGGAGUAGAUACCCCUGUAGUC
rnacentral:rRNA from 1 species